GCCCACUGUGCCCUGCUGGUGGGAGUUACGGCUGAGGAGCAGUCACUGGACCCAAAGAAAAGUCUACAUAGAGGAAAGGCCGUGUGAGAACAYAUGUACAAUCCAAGAAGAUUGAGCUCACCAGAAACCAACUAUGCUGACACCUUUAUCGUGGACUUCUAGCCUCAGAAAUGGCCCCCAAAGCACAAGAAAUAAACACAAAAAUUGGCA